rnacentral:rRNA from 1 species
UACGUAGGGUGCGAGCGUUUAAUCGGAAUUACUGGGCGUAAAGCGUGCGCAGGCGGUUAUGCAAGACAGAUGUGAAAUCCCCGGGCUUAACCUGGGAAUGGCAUUUGUGACUGCAUAGCUAGAGUGUGUCAGAGGGAGGUAGAAUUCCACGUGUAGCAGUGAAAUGCGUAGAUAUGAUGGAGGAAUACCGAUGGCGAAGCGCCUCCUGGGAUAACACUGACGCUCAUGCACGAAAGCGUG